CCAGAAAGGAUUCUGCACCUGGAACAGGACAAUGCUGGGCAUAUGUAUGGUCUGGGAGAAUAGCAGCUGCAGAAGAGCUCUGUGGAAAGGGAUCUGGUAGUUGUGGUUGGUUCUGGUGGUUCUGACACUCAGAGUCAGACACAGACACACAGACACAUGGCUGUGUCACACAAACAGACACACAGACACACAAACACAUGGCUGUGUCACACACACACACACACACACACACACGCAGAGUAAUAAUAAUAAUAUAAUAAUAUUAGAGUAAUAAUUCCCUCUCGGGGUUGUCAAGGCACUAUAAAAGUUUGCCAAGCGAAGUUGUGGAUGCCCCGGUCUCUGGAAGCGUUCAAGGCCAGGCUGGAUGGAGCCCUGGGCAGGCUGACUCAGUGGGCGGUAUCCCUGCCCACAGCAGCGCAGUUGGAGGUAAAAGUUCUUUAAUGUCUAUUCCUACCCAAGCCAUUCCAUGAUUCUAUGUUUCUAUGAUGUAAGCACUGGCCCCACCAGCCCUGGUGCAGUGCAUCACAAGAGGAGCGGCUCACGGGCAGCCUCCACCCGGCUUCACGGGGCCGUGAGGUCACAAUGCCCCGCUACAUGGCUGUGCAGAGCUGUGAUGUCACAAGGCCCAGUUGUGAUGCUGUCCCAUGGCACAGGCAUUGCUCGGCGCCUGACCCAACGGCAGCACUUGCUGUGGCUGCAGCGGUGGUGGUGGCAGCAUGGCACGAGUGUGGGGGGCCACGGCCCCUGCCCGCCUUGUCCUCCUCCUGCUACUGAUGUCCCUGCGUUCCUGGGAGAUUUGUGCUGCUCCGCUUCCAGUACAGGGAGCAGGUGAGUGGGCAGCGAUGGAUCCAAAGCUGAGCGGCGCGAGGGGCAGGAAGUCAGGCUGAGUUGCCAUGGCCCUACACCACCCUUCCCUGGGGCUACCUCCCAUGGUGGGCGUUAGGCAGAGGGUGACAGGCAGCACCGCAGGAGCCAGCCAAGAGCUUGUGGCAGCGCUUGCUCCCCAGGGCUGGCUCCAACCAUGCCGGACCAUGACUCUGCUGCUUGCUGGCUGGAGCACGGCCUUCAUCCUGGGAGAUGCCCUGGGUGAGAGCUCACAAGAUGCGUGCUGGGAAAAGCAUGAGCAUUUCUGCUCCAGCCUGGUGGUACUCCCCGUAGACAAAUCCCGGUUUCCAACACAGAGCCCCCACCCACAGCCCAGAGGAAGAGGCAGGUGUGUUUUCCUCCAGUGCUUUGGUGUGACCUUCCUUUGUGUACACCAGAGGUGCCCCAGUAAGAAAGUCCCAAAGGGCUGAAUCUUCUUCUGUGUGGUCCAUAAGGGUUUUUGCACGUGGCUUGGAGAACGUAUCAUGUAAGCUGCCAGGUGGCAGCCAAGAGGUCCUCCUGGCCACUCUGCUACUGUGCAAAUCAUGACCUGCGUCUUUCUCCCGCCCCCUUGCCUGACCCACCUCCAGUUGCUAAGGGAGAAGAAUAUCACAACAUCCCCAGUAAUGGGAACUUCUCUAAUCAGUUCUUCUUGAUUGUAGAUGAUGACAUUGGUGCGCCCUAUUCAGAUGAUAGUCUGAAUCCAGGUUUUGUGCCUCGGGGUCAACCCAGAGGUAGGUUCUGAGUGUCUGUUCCCAUGAAGGCAGAAAAAUUUGUGCCCCAGCAGCACGCAGUUUUAUUUCAGAUCCUCUCAAGGUCCUCCUAACCUGCUUGUACCUUGGAGGUCUUGCGCAGAUCAGUCAUGAGUAUUUUGUGACUUGGAGAGCUGCCACAUUUCAGUGGGAAUGUUAACCCUGCCCCUCUCCAGCUGAGAGAACUCAGCCCUUCGGAUUUGGGCCCUGACCUGCCACCACACCCUGCAGGUCACUGAGGAAAAAGUAGGCCCCAACGUGCAGAGGAAGCUCUGCUCACCAGUGUCUGAUCACACUUGUCCCUGCAGGCCCUCUUGCUCAAUCCGCACAGCAGAAUCCUGUCCCUGAGCCUGGGGUGGACUCCAGGGGUGUGACUGGAAAUGAAGGUGCUCCAGCUUCCCCUCUGAGUUCCAGGACUGAAACUCCGGCAGAUCACAUGGAAGUGCCCCCGGGGAGGGCCUUGCUGGUUUCUCGGCUCCUUCCUGCGAUGGAGACCAGUUGGAAUCCCAUGGGUGAGUAGAUGGUCUUCACUGAUUCCACUGACGCACUGCUGGUCUUCAAAACUUCAAGCACGGGAGACUGAACUUCAUGCAUUCUGUUAAGGUCCGCAAAGAGGAAGUAGAGGAAAGGAUACAUCUAGAAGAGGGAAGUACUCACAGAGGUCAUCCCAUAUCCUAAAUGAACUCCUGAAGAAAAUGGAGAUGGCAGCGUAUGGUGGGACUAAAGGGACUGACCAAGAGACUGUGCAGAAGGAGCCAUUGCAGGAAAGCAGCCAGUCUCUGACACGGCCAGUCUCUGACAGAAAAACACAGGCAGAACAAGCAGCUG
ensembl:lncRNA